GCCAGGUGUUGGUGGUGCACGCCUUUAAUCCCAGCACUUGGGAGGCUGAGACAGGAGAUCACUUGAGUCUAGGAAUUUUGGGCUGUAGUGCGCUAUGCUGAUCGGAUGUCCGCACUAAGUUCGGCAUCAAUAUGGUGACCUCCAGAGAGCGGGCGGCCACCAGGUUGCCUAAGGAGGAGGAGUUCUAUACCAUUCAUUGUUUAUGUUAAAUUUCCUCAUGUAUGAUGCUACAGAACAAUCAGCCGAGGAUCGCCUCUGGCAUCCAUGAACGGCUCAAAAUUAUGCUCAAGCCUUGU
ensembl:misc_RNA Metazoa_SRP Metazoan signal recognition particle RNA